rnacentral:lncRNA from 1 species
GCCAUGUAAAGAGUAAAGGAUAGGGGACUAGCCUUGUUGUGCCACUAUUACUCAUCCGUGAAAUGGAAGGCAUUAGCCAUAGUUGAGAAAUAAUAGCGGAAUGAUCGAUCUGGAUAUCUCUUGCGAAGCUUGGUUCACAAUAAAAGCACAAUAACGAUCUUUCAGGAACCACGGAUGCAGAACCACAAAUAAACCCUUCAAACUCCUUUAAUUUUCUAGUUCUCUCUUUUUAUUUUCUUUUGCCCUUGUUUUUGGUUUUCUUUGUGUUGCGUGUUGUGCGUAUCCAUGUCUUCUUCUCUUUGCUGCUUAUGGUAAAGGGUAUUUAUGAAAGUGAGGAGAAAAGAGACAUUCGUUUGUUGGAGAAACUUUUAUUUUUUUGGUUAACGGGGAACUUAAUCUUUAAUUAAUCAAGGAGCAAUGUGAUUGUUUGAUACAGGGC